ensembl:snoRNA
UUACCAAAAGUUAAUUUGGUGAGGGAAGGUUGUAUUAAUAACCUUUACCAAGCUGGGCUGUUUGGGAGAGUAAACACGACCACACUCCACAGUGGGCUAUAUCACUUAGUAUAGUUCACUACUAUUUUGUGGCCUACAUU